CGCACAUUGCGCCCGCCAGCAUUCUGGCGGGCAUGCCUGUUCGAGCGUCAUUUCAACCCUCGAGCCCGUCUUUCGUGGACGGGAGCUCGGCGUUGGGGACUGGCAGUCGUGCCAUCCCCGAAAUUCAGUGGCGGCCCGUUGCGGCGACCUCUGCGUAGUAACUCACCUCGCACCGGGAAAAGCAGCGCGGCCACGCCGUAAAACCCCAACUUAUCAAGGUUGACCUCGAAUCAGGUAGGACUACCCGCUGAACUUAA
rnacentral:misc_RNA from 1 species